GACGAACGCUGGCGGCGUGCCUAAUACAUGCAAGUCGAGCGGAUCUUCAUUAGCUUGCUUUUGAAGAUCAGCGGCGGACGGGUGAGUAACACGUGGGCAACCUGCCUGUAAGACUGGGAUAACUUCGGGAAACCGGAGCUAAUACCGGAUAAUCCUUUUCCUCUCAUAAGGAAAAGCUGAAAGACGGCUUGGGCUGUCACUUACAGAUGGUCCCGCGGCGCAUUAGCUAGUUGGUGAGGUAACGGCUCACCAAGGCGACGAUGCGUAGCCGACCUGAGAGGGUGAUCGGCCACACUGGGACUGAGACACGGCCCAGACUCCUACGGGAGGCAGCAGUAGGGAAUCUUCCGCAAUGGACGAAAGUCUGACGGAGCAACGCCGCGUGAGCGAUGAAGGCCUUCGGGCCGUAAAGCUCUGUUGUCAGGGAAGAACAAGUAUCGGAGUAACUGCCGGUACCUUGACGGUACCUGACCAGAAAGCCACGGCUAACUACGUGCCAGCCGCCGCGGUAAAAC
rnacentral:rRNA from 1 species